rnacentral:lncRNA from 1 species
AUUCGUCUUUACGGAGGGUCCCUCCCCCCUUUUCGUAUUCUUUUCCUUCUUUUUGUCUUCUUGCAUUGAUUUAAGUCAUGGCGCUCUUGUCUUCCAGCGACGGUGUCCUGUCGAAGCUCUUCCCUUGCCAGAGGGUAUUUCCAUGAAGUCGAUGAUACGAGACCUCCAAAGGAAAGUUUGUCGAUUAACAGGAAAAUCUAAGAAGCUGGAAGACGAACUCCACC